CAAUAGCUCUCGCGAAUUUCAAUAAUGAAGUCCUCUGGAAAUCCAAAAUAAUUGUUUCUGUUUGCAGCUGUGUACAACGGCUCCUAUUGAGUUUGCUUGUAAAACGCGGAGAACUACCGUCGGCUCUCCGCGAUUCUACGUCAGAGGAUGUGAUGUCAGGUGGCCAUUAUUGCCUAUAUUUGGGCAAUAAUGGCCACCCCCAUACACAGUGAUCCAGACAACAAUUUAUGCUUUUCUUUUCUUAUUGAUUAAUGCUAAAUUCAUUAACCACAUUAUUAACCACAAACGUAUUAGUUUUAGGUAUAGCUAAUGAUCCCCUGAUUUUUCCUUGUUGACCAGACUUCCCCUUUAACCGUGCCGGGACCGGUCCGAGCUCGGUAACUGAGAUAACUAUCGAGUGUAAAUGGAAAGCAAACUGAACUUAACCGAGCCAGACACAACCGGACCGCGCUAAACCUAUACCAGUUCCAUGUGUGAGCUCGGCCUGGUUUUUUAGCGGCCCAGUUCUCUUAUAACAAAGAGCGCAUGAGCAGACCACGUCAUCUCCUUAAAGUCAGCUGACUUUCUGCGUUUUUUCCGGCUUGUCUGGCUUCACAUCCUGAUUCACACUCCAUUCCAGUAAUUGGCGAUAACGCCCCUCCGAAAGUUGCUUGCCAAGCACCAUAAAACAAAAGAAGAAGAACUGUAAACAACAAUCGAAAUCUUCUCCACGCUACAUUUUAAAGAAUGGCUUGAAAAGACCGUGGUGCAAUCUGGGAUGACGCCGAGACUGAGGUUGUUAUUACAAUUUGGGCACAGGACGCUAUCCAGGCGAUGUUGGAAGGUGCUAAACACUAUCACAAAGUUUUCCAAAAAAUUUCGGACGAAAUGAAGGUGAGGGGAUACGACCGAGACCCGAAACAGUGCCGAGAGAAGAUUAAAAAACUUAGGACACAAUACAAGAAGGUUCUGGACCACAACAACAGAUCAGGGGGAGGAAGAAAAAGUUGGAAAUUCUAUAGUGCCAUGGAUGAAGUGUUAGGCCUCCGUGCAUCGUCGAGGCCUCCAGUGCUUUUGGAGACCUCUACUCUGAACUCCGCAGCAACAAGUAGGUUCCCGAAAAUCAUAAUUUUUUUAUUCUGAUGAUCUACUAAUCUACUAAGAAAUGUCUGUUGUAGGCCUAUAUUUAUAUAAGACGUGGCAAAUAAAUACUAGCUGGCUUAUCAUGAGUAGGCUAACCAAAAACUUAGUUCUCCAAAUCCACACUAGUGAUAUUUGAAAACUAAAAAGAGGUCAAUACUCUGUACCUGUACUUUUUCAUUCAAGUACAGGAUGAUAAUGCAACGUCCGACAAUGAGGAGCAGUAUGAGAACCUGUACAGCACACAGGAUGAGAUGGAUGAUGAACAAUCUUUGAAUGGGUCGAUAGCUAGUUUUAUUUCUGAGGAGCCAGGAGGAAGUCGCAUUGCUGAAGUUCCUGUUGCUGAGGCUCCUGAAGUAAAUGUUAGACCCAAGAAGAAGAACAAAAUAGUAAAAGCCCUAGAUUCUACCCAAUGCCUUAGAGGCAUUCAUGAAAGCUCAAAGACAUUCUGAUGACCGCUGGAUGGUAGCAUAUAAAGAACAGCAGGAGUCAGUCCAACGCCACCAACUACAUCAGCUAAACAUGAUACAAGAAAUAGAAAGAAACCAACUUCAGGCUGAAGAGAGAAUGAGAAAAUAAGAACAGGAACAUGAGAUGAGACUGAUGCAGAUGAUGGUCCAACUGAUGUCACAGCAACCAGCACAACUACAGCCCCUUAACCCUGCAUCCCCUUUAACUUCUUUCCCCAACUUUUCUAAUUAUGGACCAUAUCAGUAAUUGUAAAAGACGUAACUCAAGUUUUAGAAAUUAUUUACAAUACAUAAAAUGUUUCAUACAAAAAUUGUUUCUGUUUUCUUUACUGACUUUUUAAAAUAUACCACACCGGUAUUGCAAAAAUAUAUGAGAAACUCAACUAUAAAAAACUAUUUACAAUACAUAAAAUAUUUC